rnacentral:lncRNA from 1 species
AGGAUAUUAAACAAGGCAUUCAAGGCUAGGUAUCAAAGGCUUUUUAGCGGUGAAGCUUGAUGUGUUUAGGGUUACCUUUUUCUGAAGAGACAAGAUAUUAUGCAAAACAACAAAAGAGGAUGAAGCUGUUGAUGUCCACAGUUUCCAGUCAUAUUCUUCUUGCUUUAAGAUUUCUGAUCUCCUUUCUUCAAGCUCUCCUUAUAACUCCCCAGACUUGGAUUUUUGUCCAGGUUGUGA